rnacentral:lncRNA from 10 species
GAAGGUAUUCAGUUACCUGCCCUGCGGGGCUGUGCCUUCUCGCCUGGCUGCCUCCGCCUUUCUUGGGGGAAUGUCACGCUCGCGGCGCUUCUCCUAACAGCUAACCUUUGUGACAGCCUUUUCAGCCACGGGAGAGUUUUCUACAUUCCUUCUUUAUUUUGUCUUGGCGUUCCAUUUUGCAAUAACCCACCAAAUUAUUAUAACAUUGUCGGGGCGUUUACUAAAAUAUUCAAUAAAUGCUACAAGUUUGGGUAUUUGCUUUAAAAUUUUACAGUCCAAGAGAAAAAAAAAUGGAGAAGAGAGGUGAAAUAAGAUAGGCAAAAAGUUGAGGGUCGAAGCUGGGUGAUGGGUACUCGAGGCUGCAUUACAGUAUUCUUUCUAGUUCUGUGUCUUGGAAUUUUUCCAUAAUUUAAAAAAAUUCAGGAGGGACUGAAGGAGGGGCUUUUCAAUAAAAACUUAGCACGCUGAUGAGGGUACGUAAACAUCUAAUAAUUACGGCGUACCUCCAGAGGUUGUAGUGCUGUUGUUUUAAUGAAGACUCCCAGAGCUUCUUGGUCCUUGACAGCCUCUUGAAUGAUGUGAACAGUGAUGGCUUUCUCUGAGAGUAAGACAAGAAAGCUUUGUAAAUGGCGUUGAAUUUCCUGCUCUUGGCAGGCCCUGCUCAGCACAGAAGAAAAGACUGAUCAAGUUGUCCAAGAUGGAGCCCUUUAUCCACGUUAGUCCACUUAUCUCUUUAAGAUUAAAGGAAAGCAAUCAUUAAAAAUACAGAUCCAGUAAUUAUUAAUACAGCAUCCUCUUUUUUAAACACCUCAUUUUAAGAAUGAUGAUAUUCUUAGGAAAUGGGCUGGGGGAUUAUGUAGGUUUUCUCUGUUUACUUUGCAGAAUUUUUUGUUUGUU